ACAGCAAACCGAAAAAGGCGCC
rnacentral:miRNA from 11 species